rfam:Naumovozyma castellii CBS 4309 chromosome 2, complete genome
GGGAGUGUGGUCUAGUGGUAUGAUACCCGCUUUGGGAAUUUAUUCUUGAAUAUGCGGGUGGCCCGGGGUUCAAUUCCCCGCUCUCCCC